AGGACUCGGGAACGGGAAGCUGGCGGGGGUGUGCGCGACGCGGCCGGCGCAGCGGCCGGCGGGGGCGCACGCCUGAGGGAGGCCGCGCCGAGGGCCUGUGGGCGCCUGGCCCAGCGUCCCCGGCGUGGCAGCCUCGGCCUCCACGCGCAGCCCGCGCCGCCUUUGUCUCCUUGCCAGUGCUGCCGGCCGAGAAAGGGGGCGAGAGGCGCGGACCUCGGCGCCGCGGGCCCGGCUAGGAGUGGACGGGCCGGCGGCUCGACCGGUGUGUCCCAUCUCCCAGCCGUGGGCUGCCAAGGUCACAGAGCCCUGAGACCGCUGCCGCGGCAUCUCCUCCCUGUUCAGGGGUGCCCUGGGGUCUGGAGUUCAUCGGAUGAGAAACGGGACCAUACCAGAUGUGCUCCCUGCGAGGUCGGAGAGCUGCCUGGGUGGCUGGCUGGCUGUGUGCCCCGGGGCGCUGUGACUGGCACUAACGGUGUAGAUGUGUGUCAUAGGGCUGCACUGCGAUGGCAAUUGCUGGCGUUGCAAAUAGUAGGUGGGUCACCUCAGGGUUCCUUCUGCAGUGAAGUGUUGCUGAAGGUGGCUCUUGGGAGCCCAUGUCUGUCUGUAUAGCAUCCUUAAACAACCCUGGUGGUCAGGAAGCUUGAAAGAUGAUCUCGUCCAGCUUUUCAUGGAAGGGAGCCUAGAUGAGAUUAUCUAGAACCCAGUCCAGUUGCAUCUUUAAGACCUCUUGUGAACCAGCCUCUACCACAUCCCCAGGUUCCACCGAUGGGUUUUUCUCACUGUAAAAACAAAAAAGUCAUAUUGCCCUUUGUCUUCUCCAUGGGGCUCCUUGUGAAAAGGAAGCUUCCAUAUUGUUUGUAGCCACUUUUUAAGUACUGGAAUACUGUGAUGAGGCUCAUUGCCCCCAGGAAUCUUCUCUCUUCCAGGGAGAUAAAACCUACGUCCUUCAGUCUUCCUUCACAGGGCAGGUUGCCCUGCCCUUUGAUAAUCUUCAUGGCCCUUCUUUGGACCCUCUCCAGUCUGAACAUGUUUUUCUUGAAAUGUGUGGUCCAUAACUGGACACAGUACUCUAGGUGUGGUCUGACAAGUGCUGAAUACAGUGGGAUGAUCAGAUCUCUAUCCCUGCUAUUAAUGCCCCUGCAGAUGCAGCCCAGGGGCUGAUCUGCCUUCAUUGCUGCAGCACCAUGCUGCUGUUUCAUGUUCAGCAUCUUGUCCACCAGGACCCCCAGGCCCCUUCCAGCAAGGCUGCUCCCCAGCCACACAGGUCCCAGCCUGUACUGCCCUCUUUGUUUAUGUUAUCCCACACGCAGGACAUGUCUCUGUGAAACUUUAUAUUGUUCUUCCUAGCCCGCUCUCCCAGCACAUCCAGCUCUCUCCAUAUGACAGCUCUGCCUUCUCGUGUCUCCACCUCACCACUCAGUUUAGUGUCAUCAGCAAUCUUCAUCAAGGGGCUUUCAAUCACAUCAUUCAGAUCAUUUGUGAAGAUGAACAGCAUGGGGCCCAGUGUCAGUCCCUGGAGGACCCCAUUUGUGACAGGCUGCCAGCCUGAUUGAUCACCACCCUCUGAGUGCAGCCUGUUAGCCAGUUUUCUACCCAUCUUGCAGACUACCUGUCCAAUCUGUAUUGUGCCAGUUUGUCCAGCAGAAGGCUUCCUCAUGGAUGGAGGCACAGAAAAAAGACUUUAAAUUUUAUAAGUGCUUACAGGGCUUUCUUAGCUGAAUUAGUUUCUGCUGCUGUGGCUGCCAAACCCAGGUGGAUGUGUAAUAGAACCCUGCUGAAAGUAGGUCAAUGGAUGAUGGAUACAGGAUUGUGCAAGUAAUUGCUUUUUCAGUUGAGCAGCUAAAUAAGAAGGGAAGUAAGUCAGAAGCCAAAAUAAACAUAAUUUUUGUUGUUUUGGUGAGGGGGGGGAGAAGCCCCACUCUUGUAUGAAACAAAAUAUCUUGUUCAACCUGAAAUAAUAAUUGUAAGCUAUAAAAGAAAGCAAAUGGUUUUCUGUUUAAACAUUUUCAGUUACUCUGAAACCCAGUGGUAAAGGCAAUCCUUCAAGAAGUGGGAGGAGAUUCAGUUUCCUGUUCUGCCUGACAUUAUUUGAAUCUGCAUCUCUCAGACCUAAGUAUACCAGAGGUACACCAGCAGGCCAGAGGCACUACACUUGUUUGCACUAGUGCAGCCACAGCAGAGAUAAAAGUCCCGGUGUCACAGCUCUUACCCAGGUUGCCGAUCUGUUGGCAAUUCUAGAAGAGGCGGACAACUUCAGUACCGUAUAGAUAUGCCAUGCAGGGGUGCUGUGUUUGUGUCUCAAAGCAGCCAUUCCACACCCCCUGUUGGCAGCUUAUCUCUCCAGAGCUCUGGUGUGGGGGACCUGAGCCAUGGCCAUCUUGCUGUCCUAGAAAACUACCUUUGCCCAUGCCUAAAGUCAAGUCUGCAGCUGCUACACUCAUUCCUGGUCCCAUUAAAUCGACCGCUUUGCAGUGUACCCGCAGUGCAUUUGCAUGCACAUUGGCUAUGCCCUCUGCAUAGCAAAGUGCUCUAAAAGAAACCCAGACACCUUCCUCAUCCUGCCUGGCUCAGGAAAUGUGGGCACAGAAUCACGAAGGAGAUUGGGGUGUCCUAGGGUGCAAAGGGAAAGGGGGGCUGACCAACAUGGCCUGCCAGGUUAAUAUGCCCUGGCUGCCUGUCAGUAUAAUGUUCUCAGGGCUGCUCAUGCAAAAUAAUCCCCAGGCAGCUUCUCCAGCUGAGGAGGCAGAUAGCUUUCCUGUCCUGUGGGCACACAUCACGCCCUUAGCCAGUUCUGACUCUUGCUUACAACCUGAACUACCAUCAGUGGGCAUAGUUAUCCAGACAUCAGGACUGUUCUCUCUUAAAAUAGUGGCUCCAUUUUAAAGACAGCUUUUGGAAGUUUUGUUUUGUUGGUUUUUUUUGUUGGUUUUUUUUUUCUGAGCAUUGCACCCCUCAAGGAGGAAUUGGCCGCAGUUCUGGAUUUAUAUUAGGCAACAGUUCCUAAAAACGAGCAGUGGUCAAUUUGUGAAGGUGUGGUUGUUUCCCAGAAUCACCAUUUGUUAAGCACCCAUGAAGAAGAGCUACCAGAAAAGAUGUGCAUUUCUAAAACUGAAAUUUAGAUGAUGUUCUGUGGUUUGCACCUUGCUCUUGGAUGGUGAAAACUUGACUGGAGCAUAAUGCUCAUUAUCUAAGUGAGAGAGAGCCUGAGAGCCAAGUGUUUUCCUACAUGCUAUUGCAUUUUAUUUCUAAUCUUGAUCUCCUUCACCUCUUCCCAUCCAGGAUGGAGCAGCAUCACUGGACUAUUUUACUUGCAAAUUGGUGAUGGAUUUUGAGCUGACAGGUAAGCAAGAAUGUCAACAGGGUGAGACUGGUGCAGAGGUUUCUUCACCUUCAUGCUGGCUGGAGAUGAUGCACCCUACCCCAAGCAUGAACCAGCAUCUUAUAGAUAUCUUUUCUUGUGCUCCCAGAGUGGUUUAAUGUACAUUGGACAGCACAAACACUUUGUAAGCUCAAAGCAGUUCUGCUUACCGAUGCUCAUGUGCUGUAUGUGGUAGAUGAGGUUUAGUUUUAUUAUCAUUAAUAAUGUUGUCUCUGCUUGGUUUUGCCCAUUACAAAGAAUGUUCUGCUGACUAAAGCCAAAUAAAAAGGUUUGUACCAUUUCACAUAGUUAGCUGCAAUAGCUUUGACAUAAAUCCUUUGUGAUUUCCUUAUAGCAUAACUUUUUCCACCUUCUUAGACUCCCCAAGCAGAGCACUAGCACAAGGAUUUUGACUGCAACAAAGCAAGUGAGUUCCCAAGUAUUGCCUCAAUUGGUUUGACAAAGAGGAAAAAGAAAAAAAAAAAAUCCCUGUUCUACUUUGCCUUAACUGACAGAAUCUAAACCUGUGUCAAUUAAAUGGCUGGUGCUGCCACUGGCAGCCAAAGAUGAGAACAUUGUGGUGGGGGCAGAGGAAUCAGGCUCAGUAGUACAAGCUUCAGUCAGCUUUCUCUUAUGCAAUUGCAAUAUGAUUUACCACUUAAGCUCCUCCAUGACUACUCCUUCAGCUAGCACGCUCUCCCUGCCUGAGGAAAUUCUGUUUAUACAAACAAGGUCUGUGGAGCAUCGUUACUAAGCUCCAGUUACUCAGCGAGGAAGUUGCACUUGAUGAAGCAUGUCCUUAGGGUGUCCUUGAGACACUUUCUUGGAUGACACACUUCAUCUUUCCACACUCCACUUCACAGGAGCAUUCAUGCAUUGUCCAGCUCAGCCACAUGCUUAAGCUACCUAGCUUACAUUGAUGUAAGGUAAGUCAUUUUAAUGAUAUGUGUGAGCAAACUUUCAAGAUUUUUUUUCAUUUUAUGAUGUCUGUACUGAAGAAGAGUUGCUGCUGCGAAGAAAUCAUAAUUAUGCUAGCAAGAAUAAUUAUCUAGCAUAAAGUGGUUCUCCACUACAGGAAGCUUUUUGGAGCGUCCCCCGAGUUUUUAAUAUAGUAGCAGCUUUCGCUUUUAAUAUGGCAAGGCUUCUUAAAGUGCAUGUUCUGAAACACAACGUCCCAUCCCACCAGGUGGGAUUAAGGAUGAGUUAACUCUGAAUGUGACAUGCGCCCUGUCUCACCAGGUGAGAUCAGGUGUGAGAUAACUCUGGGUAUUUCUGCACAGUAAUGCAAAGUGAAUCACUCAAGAGGUCAAAUUCAGUUAUGAAUUUACUAAAAGCACUUGGUGGAAUAUAAAUUACAGCGAUUAGUGACUUGGCAAAAGUAUAUUAAUAUAGCACAAAACUUAACAAGAUUUUAGCAGCAGAACUUACAAUGAUAUUACCUUUAUAUGUUCAAGAAGAAGCAAAAGAGAGAGAGAGAAGGAAAACUAAGAGAUCAGACAGAGAAAGAGAGAAAGAUACCACUGCUCCACAGGUUGAUCAGUCCCGUGACGUCUUCUGGAGGGGAAUGGACACAUUGAAGAUUUUGGUACACACAACCACCUCAUGUCAUGCAUGAGUUCAUUUUAUAACCCAGUUCAUUUGCAUGUGAGAUAGAAGAGGGUGCUUUGUCUCCUCCCUCUGUUCACUCUUCAUGCUAAUUAGAAAGAAUCUUCUGAAAAUGGGUCUGGGGUCUUCAAACUAGGGGAAAGUUCACAGUACUGACCAGAAGUGAGCUGUUUUGCCUGUCAGGUGUAGGUGUUGGUUUGUGGUUUCUUCUGGUAGUUAGUUGUCUGCCAGGUGGUUCAUCUCUAUCACCCCAAUUAGGCCACAAGGCCUUAACAUCAACACUGUUAAUUGCCUCUAUCUUAAAAAUCUUUUGCAAAACCUUGGGAAAGAAAAGACAAGGUGUCUGCCAUCUAUCUUUUCCACCCAAAGUAUAAAAAAAUAGAUGCUUAAGGCAUAAUAUCAUGUUCUGUUUUAAUUGGGAUGUGGGGAGUGCUUCAAGGUUGUCACACAUGAGCAACUCAUUACAAAUGUCAAAUAUCAAAUAAUGAAUAAAAAAAUUUGCACUCAA